ACGAAUUGGUUCCGUCUCCGUCUUACACGUUUGUUGACAAAGAGCCGAGAUGCUUGGGACCUGAAUGGGAGGAGUUUGCGGACUUUUGCUACAAACGUUUUGAUGAGAGAAAGACGUGGUACGGCGCUCGACAAGCCUGCUCCUGUCUGAAGGCCAAGCUGGUGUCCAUUCGGUCCAAGGUUGAGCGGGAUUGGCUGCAAGACCUCCUGACGAUAGCCCCCGGCAACACGUGGAUCGGACUGAACGCCCUGGUCAUUCCCGGCAAAUUCGCGUGGUCGGACCACCAGAAGGUGACCUUAACCAACUGGGCUCCGG